UACAGAGGUCUCAAGCGUUGUUCGGAUUCAUUGGGCGUAAAGGGUGCGUAGGCGGCGCGGUAAGUCGGGUGUGAAAUCUCGGAGCUUAACUCCGAAACUGCAUUCGAUACUGCCGUGCUUGAGGACUGGAGAGGAGACUGGAAUUUACGGUGUAGCGGUGAAAUGCGUAGAUAUCGUAAGGAAGACCAGUGGCGAAGGCGGGUCUCUGGGCCGAUACUGACGCUGAGGAGCGAAAGCGUGGGGAGCGAACAGG
rnacentral:rRNA from 1 species